rnacentral:rRNA from 1 species
GGAGGAAAGUAGGGGAUCGCAAGACCUUGCACUAUUGGAUGAGCCCAAGUCGGAUUAGCUAGUUGGUGGGGUAACGGCCUACCAAGGCGACGAUCAGUAGCUGGUCUGAGAGGACGA